GAGCACGUAGGUGGGUUUGUAAGUCAGAUGUGAAAGCCUUCUGUUCAACGGAAGAAUUGCAUCUGAAACUGCGAGUCUUGAGUGUAGGAGGGGAGAAUGGAACUUCUGGUGGAGCGGUGAAAUGCGUAGAUAUCAGAAGGAACGCCGGCGGCGAAAGCGAUUCUCUGGCCUAUUACUGACACUCAGUGUGCGAAAGCUAGGGGAGCAAACGGGAUUAGAUACCCCGGUAGUCCUAGCCGUAAACGAUGGGCACUAAGUAGAGGGGUUUUAA
rnacentral:rRNA from 1 species